CAGUAGCCGCGGGAACACGUAGGUGGCAAGCGUUGUCCGGAAUUAUUGGGCGUAAAGGGCUCGCAGGCGGUUUCUUAAGUCUGAUGUGAAAGCCCCCGGCUCAACCGGGGAGGGUCAUUGGAAACUGGGAAACUUGAGUGCAGAAGAGGAGAGUGGAAUUCCACGUGUAGCGGUGAAAUGCGUAGAGAUGUGGAGGAACACCAGUGGCGAAGGCGACUCUCUGGUCUGUAACUGACGCUGAGGAGCGAAAGCGUGGGGAGCGAACAGGAUUUGAUACCCCCGUAGUCCCUGUCUCUUAUAC
rnacentral:rRNA from 1 species